UCAAGCCGUAAGAUGCGUGAUCCCUGUGCACAAGUGUCUGGCAGGCCGAGGUGCACCUGUUCCUGUCACUCUGGGGUAAAUUUAGCUGUAAAGGUAUCACUGACAACCAGACCUUUGUCAGUGUUGGCAAAAGAACACAGAAUUGCUUCGCUCCCCUCCCCCUUCCAAGCCCCAAUGCUGCUAGUUCAAAUGGAAAAUAUCAAAUUGGAAGUCUAUCCAAAAAUCAUUCCUAAAAAAUGAGAUUGCUUUCAUAUGGUAAAAAAGUAAGUUUCCUCAUUUCACGCAGACUUUAAAAUUACAUUUCCAAGAAUAAUCUUGGAACAAGACAAGUUUUUGUUCAAUUAAUUGUGGCUGGAAACUUUUUAAUGGAAACAUAGCACACACUUACUUCAUUUCAGAUUAUUAAAUUGUGUUAAGCCUUAAAGUUAGUUGCCAUUCUUUGCUGUAGCUCAUUUGUUCUUUUCAAUCCAGAGAAAUACUAGAACGUUAAAACUUAUCACAUAGGAGGGUUUAAUCAUCCUACCAAAAUUAGACAGCAUGUAGCUCUGAAAGACUGAAUGUCAAAUUGUGUGCUCGUAGCCCUUAAACUACUGAGAAUCUAGGACCCCACUACUACAUUUAAAAUGACUGUUCAUGUUUGUGGAAAACCGUGGACGUUUAGGAACUGGUAAAGCUAGAGGUCUCUUACUCUUUGAUUAAGGGCACCACUUUCAGAUAAAAACAUAGACCUGAAUGGCAUCAUCCAGUAUCCAAGGAAACCAUAUUAUCUUUCCUGCCUGGGUUAUAUCUGCAGAGCAGCCGACACUCAUUCUUAUAAAUGUGUUUAUGUUUGAGAUUGGAUGUAGUGGAGGAUGGAAGGAUAUAAAAUGAGAGAAGGGAACCACUGGAGAUUUUGAGAUGGUCUAUUUAUUGAGAGCAACUUGGAUCCUAAAUUUGUCACCAGCUCUGGAUUUCUCUCCCAAGCCAGGAUUGUGUGAAGUCAUUACAAUUUAAAGCAUACUGUCGGUCGGUCAUUCCCUGGACUCCAACUUCUGUUUCACCCCCAACAUACAGAGUAGAGAAGAAAUGAACGACUACAGGGAGAUUGCUUUCUCCUACUUAUCAAGACAGAGUGGUGUAGAUUCACUUCUUUUGGGGGCAUGUGUUCCAAGAAGAAGCAGAUUUCCAUUACAGACUUGAAACUGAGGUGUGUGAGGAGCACACAGAUAUCUUCCUUUGAACUUUGAAGGAGAUCAUUUGCUGUUAACAUAAAAAUAAGACUAUUCACAAAUCAUUAGCUCUGAAGAAAGAUGACAUCAACAUUGUGAGGUACUCCGCCUGUUGGACAAAUACAAAAAGAAUCAAUUGUGGCAUACCUCUUGACUAAAGAGCAUCAGUGAAUAACUGCCUGCAGGGCUUGUUAUAUUUCUGAGUUGUAUGUAUGGUUUACAGUUGCGGCCAUGUGGUAAUUGCACCAAGUUGACCAUAUUAAUAGUGAGUUUAUCUACACCAUCUGCUGUUAUAUUGACAUCUACGUUUUUCAACAUAGCACCCUAUUUUUGUUCGGUUAUUUCUUCUUUUCCUUCUUCAUUUCCAACCAUCCCUACUGAUAUCUGCACCAUUUCAUGUUAUCAAAAAAAGGAGGCUUUCAGUGGAGAAGUGAUGGAUGGCAGGGCUAAGUGACCAAAGAACUCAGUAGAAAAAAGUUGUAAUUCAUGGCCCCAUACAACUGUAAAAAGGUGAGUCUUCGGGUAAGAAAGUAUAUGGAGUAAGCGUGAAAGAGACAGGAGGGUUUAAAAGAAUCAAAGGAAAUGGCUGACAGGAUAGAGGAGAAUGAGGACCAUACAUGUGUAGGAUAACGGCAGAACAGUUCAGAGAUUAAGAUGGCAUUAAUGUGAUCAUCAGAAAGAUACUUCAAAGUUUUGGCAACACACUCCAACAGCAGUAACUCCAAGGAGCCUUCUGAAAUCAGGAGCCAACAGGUGAGGUUUCCUUUAACUUUAUUCUUGAAUUGCAGUCAAGAUUAACUUGUAUAAGCCCCAUUUUCUGAUGUUUUAGUUUGUUUCCAAAGCGCUGUUCCUUCCAGUUCAUUUUUUCACUUAUCCUCACAAGGUAGCUGUGAUAGCUUCUGAGCAAAUCUCCUGGCACCCAACUCUUAGCUAAUUCCAUUAGAAAACACCGACUUUGUGUGUGAAAGGUGAAAAAAAAUUCUAUUAAAUCGUUGCUAGAUUUUUAGAACUAUAGCUAAAGUUCAGGAAAGGCUUGGGGUUCCAAAGAGUAGAAAGAUAGAGAAAAGAGCAAACGUAUAUAUUCAGUAUAAGCCAACAGAAUUAACCUGGGCAUUAUUUGAGCUUUUGUUCCCUGAAGCCAUGGAUCAAUGGUGCAGAAAUAGACACUCACCUCUGACAAAGAAAAAGCAUGGAUACUGGCAUGGGAGGGCAUGGUUCCUUUUCUUUCAGCCCCAGAUCAAAUUUAAACCUGUGAUUUUGGAGCUUACUCAUCAGAGGAGAAAUAUCAUGAGCUAUUUGCUCUCUCUGCUGUAACACAGCUCUGGCAAGCCUGGAAGUUGUGUUGAGAUCGUCAAAUCUAUAGUCAAGGACCAUCUUUGUGAAUCAUGAAACCAUAUGCCACUGGUUGUCUGAAUUGGAGGAAAAAAACACCCCAAAACAAAAAAACCCAACUCUACACCAACGAAACUAGUGAUGUGCUUAGACAGUGCCAAGGGCCAUUUGACCAUCUUACACCUUCUCAAUCUAUGCAUUUAAAAAAUUUGUUGCUACUGCCUGAACCAUGUAAAAUACCAGAACUCCUGUAGUGCUAACAAGGAAUAAAGAUCUUGCACCAGAUGGUGCCUCUUGUCUCCAUCUAUCUCUAGCCCAAACAAUCUGCCAGAGUUUUGAAGAAAAAUACGAUGUGAUCAUGUUGCAAAGUAUAUGAAGAAACAGUAUGAAAAGUAAUCUGGCUCAAGCAUUGGAAUCCAGAAAGAAGGAGAUUAUUAUGACUGUGAGCCUAUGGAUGAGAGGGUAUUGUUAUCCCUGAAUUUUAGUCCUUAAGACAAAUGGUAUACCUGGGCACAGCUGGAAGGUGAGUAUCUCACCGAGAUGUCUCUUAGCAUCUCUGCAACAUAUUGACAUCAGUGAAUAUAGUCAAAAUUUCAGAAAUUCAUCUGGAUAUUUUUUAUAUAUAACAUAAAAUGAACAGUUUGAUGACUUUUAUAAAAUUGGGUAUAAGGGAUAGUACACAGAAGAACUUCAUUUAACUUUUUUUUCCCUAUAUUUAGCCUUUCAAGGUCUGAAUUUGGUCAUCUUAGUGACAAGAACUUCGGUAUAGUUUUUAUGUCCCUUUUGCAAGAUAUUGUUACAAUUUUCUUUCAUAAGCUUGGAUGGGAUUUUUUUUGGUCAUUUUUCUGCUUCUCUAUAAGCCCUUUGUGGCCACCAUGUUUUCAAGUAUCCUGCACUUCCAAACUUUGAUCAGGGUAUUGGUGCCCCUUUGCCAUAAAAUCCUUGACAAUUUUAUCUAACACUUACAGGAUCCUAACGUGCUUUAUGAUCAGGGGAUAUUUAGUGGGAGAGAAAGAAUCUUUCAGGUAUUUUCUAGAUGCAACUCAUCUGAAUAGACGGUUUAGUUUUAGGUUUACUUUUUGUGCUUGGCCUGGAGUGAUGUAAAUGGUAAGCCUAGAAAAUAAGGAUGAUAUGAUAGAAUUUAGUUCAUUGGUGCCGUCAGCAUGUGGUCUGCACGCUGAUUCUGAUCAGCAAAUGUGUGAAAGGUCUAUGAUGAGGCAAAUACAGAAAUUGAGAGUCAGCAUUUAGAAACUUCUACAGCAAUUUGACAUAGCUGUGGCAUCCAAGCAUGUGAUCACUUUUCCAGAAGUUCAUUUUAUUUUAGUUUACCUAAGUAUCAGUCCAUGAUGGAUUGGAGGAAAUAAAAACCAUGUUCAGUAACCAUGUUCAGACAGUUUAAGAGGCCUCACUCUAGAGUCCAUAACUGCAUCAUGUUAUGUAAGAUGGAUUGAAAUAAAGACAAUGGAUCCACGCCCAAAGAGGACGUUACAGCAAUAAUCUAGCUAUGCGGUUACCAUCCGUCAGGAGCUUUAAUGAUAACUGUGAAAGGAAAAGAACACAACAAUCACUCUGGGAAGGAGUGGGAUGUAGUUCUGAAUUGAAUGGGCUGUGCAAUCAGGAGACAUGUGCAUCCCCAAGCCUGGUAAGCAGCAUGGAUGGCAUUGCUACCAGUUCACAUAAGAGAGCCUCAGUGGAUAAAGAACCCUGCAAACACUAGGAAUUCUGGCUUUUUAGUUUUCAGUUGGUGCUGGCAAAACAUCUAUUUAGAAAUUUGCAAUGAGCCAUGAAAGACUGUGGAUCUCAACUGAAGAGUUCAAUAUUAGAAAUUUAGAACAGAUGGGAAAUUCUCCCUGAUAGUUUUACAAAGAGAAAAGAAGUUCCCUCUUCACGUUUUCUACUAUUUGAGAUGAUAUGGUUUGCAGUUUUUCUUUUCCCUUUCAAGGUAGAUGUAGUCCGUGGAAGCAGAUGAAGGACAUGUACAUGCUCAGAACACUUCUCUUUUUGCAGGGUGUGUUGGCACAUUGCGAGCACUUGAAAAACGCCGGAGCUGGGUUAGCCCAUUGAAACAGUCACAAAGCCUACUUAAUGAUGAUGUAUCUAAAUGAUAUUUUAAGUAAAGCUUUUGUUUGUUUGGUA